UGAAGUGCGUCGUGCCGCUUCAUCUAUCUUCGCCUCUGGCACGCGCACUUGCAUUGUUUACCAAGGGUACACGUACACAGGCCAGAGAUGUCGGCUAACUGUGCGGGUACCGCAGCAACACCCGACGCGAAGAGGGCUCGAGUGGAAGCCGAUGUGAUCACGGAGGGGGACCGUGCGCCGGUGUUUCCUCUCCCGCCCACCGAUGCCGCUGCCUACGAGCGUGAACACGUGCACAACGUGUACAGAGCGAUUGCCGACCACUUUUCUAGCACACGGUACAAGGCGUGGCCACAGGUCGGUGCCUUCUUGGAGGGCCUACCGCCCUUCUCUCUCGUGGCGGAUGUUGGCUGCGGAAAUGGGAAGUACUUUUCGGCAGCACAGCGACUUGCCCUCACCGCCUCCUCGCAUCCCAUGAGCACAUCAGGUGCUUCUCUCGAGAUGAAGUCGCGGCAGCAGGCAGAAGCGCAGCCGUUGCCGCCUCUUGUCUCCUUUGCACCCGCACACCGCUACGUCGUGGGUCUCGACUAUAGUGAGGAGCUCCUGCGCUCCACGCAACGUCAGCUGGUUGACCCCAACAUGCAUCAUGCGCAGCGGCGUCGCCGCCUUAGUGGCAAGCGCGCUAAGAACGAGGCAGAGGCGGUGGUGAAACCUGUGUCUGCGGAGGAGCUCCCACGAACAGAUACGGUGCGCAGCGACGCUCUGCGGUGCCCGUUGCGUAGCGGCGUCUUUGAUGCCGCCAUCAGUAUAGCGGUGAUUCACCACUACGCGAGUCGCGAGCGGCGGAGACUGGCGGUGCGUGAGCUCCUUCGCCUCGUUCGGCCGCAGGGCGGGCGUGUACUCAUCUACGUGUGGGCACGUGAGCAGCGAGGCCACACAAAGCGUCUGGUCGACCCAGAAACCGGCGACGGUCUCGUGCGGUGGGAGCGAAAUCAGAAGUGCGAUGGGGCACAGCAGGUGUUCCACCGCUACUAUCACUUUUUUUCGGAGGGAGAACUGGAGCAGCUGUGCAAGGACGCGGCCAGCGAUGAUGGGACAGGAUCGAUUCCGGUCGCAAUCAGCAAAUCUUACUACGACAAGGAGAACUGGUGUGUGAUGCUGGAGCGCUGCUGAAGUCGAAGGAGAAGGCGUGGCGACUCGAACGCCGCCUGAGAUGGACAGCAUUGUGCCUGUGUAUUUGCAUGCGCCUCUUAGCCCUAUUCGCCUACACGCAUCUGCUUGGCCCUUUCAUCUUGCGUAAUAAGUAGUCCACCUCCUCUUCACAGGCGCAUUGUAAAGUUGCGCGCGGGCAUCAUCGCGGAAGCCGACGUGUCAUCGAUGUCGAGGCUUGCGUUGACAUCACCCCCUUCCUUCCUUUGCCGCGUCUCCCAGACGGUGACGGGGAAUAACCACCACUACGAGAGUGAAAGAAGGCAGCAACAGAGUCGAGAAGGAACGACAAAAAAAAACGCCGCCGCUGCUCAGUAUGCCAGACAGGAGGAAGAUAAAGGCCGUGCUGGUUUUCGUUUUCUUGUCGCUUGGGAGACGCGCCAGAUCCCCUUUCCCUCGUGUCUGGGCGGUGCCUGGUGCUGUCUGUGUGUGUGUGUGUCGUGUCUUGCCGUGUAAUGUCGUGCCGUGGACAAGCUCGCAUAACGUGCGCCAGGUAAAGUCUCAUCGGCAGAGGCCGGGUGCCGUUCAUCAUAGGUGCGCCGUCUUCUCGUCUCUCCGUCUGUCUGUCGCUACUUUUCUUUCUUCCUCUCGCACAUCGAGUCCUUCGGCUUCCCCCCUCUUUACUGGAAACCAAAG
rnacentral:misc_RNA from 1 species